rnacentral:rRNA from 1 species
UACGUAGGGGCUAGCGUUGUCCGGAAUCAUUGGGCGUAAAGAGCGUGUAGGCGGCCCGGUAAGUCCGCUGUGAAAGUCGGGGGCUCAACCCUCGAAUGCCGGUGGAUACUGUCGGGCUAGAGUGCGGAAGAGGCGAGUGGAAUUCCUGGUGAUAGCGGGUGAAAUGACGCAGAUAUCAGGAGGAACACCGAUUGCGAAGGCAGCUCGCUGGGACGUAACUGACGCUGGAGACGCGAAAGCGUGGGGAGCAAACAGG